rnacentral:lncRNA from 1 species
AUAAAUUUCAUUCAACACAUUCAAGCGAUAUAGACCAUCACUUAAAAAGGCAUCAACAACAACAUGUGAAUCAUAAAAAAGUUUAAUAAUACCAUUAUUUUGUUGAAAUGAAUAACUAGCUUUGUCCAAAAGUGAAACUGAAAUUAAUUUCCGUCUCAUAGACGGUACAAAAAUAGUAUUUUCUAAACGAAUACUAGAAUUAUUUUAAAAGAUAAAAUAGAUGUCCUUAUAAACUCUACUUUUGCUUUGAGUCCAUUGCCCACAACAACACUGGCUUCAUUCUCUUUUUGCUUCCGUCUGCUUACUAGAUCCUGCAAGUCAUUGGUUACAUGAAUAGUUGCACUAAUAUCCAACCACCAGGAAUUUAAAGGAACAUGAACAAGACUAGUUUCAAAGAAGACAAAAGCCAAAAGAUUACCUGGUUUCUUUUUCAGAGGACAACCAACUUUCUUAUGACCUACUUGUUUGCAAUCCCAACACUUGUUUGUUAAUUACAUCUUAAGGACCAAGCGAAUUAUGAGACUGGCCUUGGUUAACACCAGGCUUAUUAGUAUGAUUACUAUUACCACCUAGAUGAUGAGACUGACCAUGAUUCGUUUUAUGAAAUUUGGGUCCACCUUUUCUUUUAUAAGAGGGAUAAUCAGUUGAUCUAGACGAAUUAACAAGCUUCACUACACCCUCAAUUUUCUCCAUUUGGAUCCACCCUUCCUCUACCACACAAACAAUAAUAAGCUCAUCAACACUAUACUUAUCUUUUUGUGCAUUAUAGGUUGUCUUAAGUUGGUUAAACUGUUCAGGAAGGGACCUUAGAGAUUGGUGAACAAGAAAAUCAUCGAUAAUAGUUACACCUAAAUUAUUCGAUUUGGUAGCAAUGUUAACCAAUUUCACAAUAUGAUUACGGACACUACCUAUAAGGUCAUACUAUAUGGUGGAUAGAGAAUCAAUCAGACUACUUAUCUCAGCUUUAUCAGAUUCUAGGAAUUUCUGUCCAGUGGCACUCAAGAAAUCCAUUGCAUUUUCAUUAUCCUUAAUUUCACCUUUAUGUGAUCAAACAUGGAUCUCUUCAUAAUCAUAAAGCUCAAUUUGUUAGACUUUAUCUAUUUCUCAUACUUAUCCUUUUCAUCAGCAGUGCUAGUAGUUGUAGGUUCAGCAGGUUUCUGUUCAGUCAAUGCAAAGUCCAUGUCCAUCAGACCUAACACUAUUUCAACAUCACGUUUCCACUUCUUAUAGUUGAUACUAGUCAGAGUUUCAAUGGAAUUCAACUGAGUAGUCAUGUUGUUAACAGCUGUAUAAGCAAACAACACAAAAAUUAGAGAAAUCAUGGGCAUGAAUAUAUAAACCAAAAGAGUCAAAGACAACUAUUGCACCCCUCCUUUGGGUAGAAGAUGCAACUAUCUCCCCUUUAAGACCAAAGAGUCCAAGGCAUUCAUUGCAUCCUCACCUUUAGGCAAGAGAUACAAAACCUCAUCCCCAUAUCAUCAAACAGUACAAGGCAUACAUUAUAUCCUUCCUUUAGGUAAGAGAUACAAAACCUCUUGUUAUAACAAAUUGUCCUCUUUUAUACACAUGAGAAUUCAAGAUAUUAUAUUCCUUCUUUAGGUAGAAAACACAAUAUAUAUUCUCAUUAAUUAAUUUAGCGUCACUAGUAUCAAAAGGUAAAUAACCCCCAACACUAAUGUACACCUUUCAAAGACAAUUUAGACAUGGUACACAUAGAAUAUUUCAAUGAGUCUAACAAAUAGACCAUUUUGAUGGAAACUAUUUAUUAAUCAUAAAUCUCAAUCCAUGUAUAAUAUUAUUUCACAUAUAUAAAGUUCUAAGAAUUUUCAAUGAUUCCAAAUAAAUAAACCACUUUGGUAGUAACUGUUUAUCAAUUAUAAAUUCUUAUUUAAACAAUCAUAUACAUGUGAGAUUAAAUAAGCCCAUAUACAAUUAAAUCUUUUAGUGUUAUUUUAAUUUGAUUCCAUCCUCAGACUUAAAAAGAACAACUACUCGGAAAAAUUUAAGAGAUCAAAACAAAUUUUAUUGAAACACAGUAGAAUUGUUCUAUUAUUUCCAGCAUGUAAACAUCAAUACAAAUUCUAUUGAAAAGGUAAUUGUUCUACAACCAAACCGAAAAGUCAGACUUGGCAGCCUAAUGAGAUAUAUGAUUAAGGAUCACAUUCUUUCUCAGAGAAAGAACAAAUAGGAUAGUACUUGUAAUUAUCAAACUUCAAAUCAACAUAUCACAGUAAAUAAAGAAGAACAUGCCAAAGAUAUAAAGUUUGGCAAGACAAAAGAAACACCACACGGCCUUUCGCCGCUAUCGGCUUUCAGUGGCUAAAACUUAUGUGAUUUAAUUAUUUAAUCAUAUCAUAGCACAACUAAUUUAAACAAAGAAAAACACUUUAUCUAUUUUGUUUGUUUUACCAUCGCCGCCUCUAAUGCACUCAAAACCGUCACCGACUUUCGGCGAUGGAACAAUAACGGAGAAAGACAGUCUCGAGGCAUCGUCCAAAUUCACAAUAAUUGUUUUUACUUUUAAAAUCAAGAUUAAUUCUUGAUCUUAAUCCCGGUGGCUCUGAAACCAACCGUGAGAUAAUUAAUUCGCAACCAUAGCAGAGAUUAAGAUAACAAUUAUGUAAUCAAUCUAGAGUCAGAAUUUAAGGAAGCGUACCGUUCAACUCCAUCGAUUCAGCAGCGAUAACAAGCGGCGUCGCUCUCAUAGCUCGGAGAACUUGAUUGAUGUGAUGUCUACCGUUACCAUGUAUUCAAGAGACAGAAUACGCUAGGUUUUCUGAUAGUCAGGAAAAUGGGGGUUGACCUCUAUUUAUAAAGAGCGCUUACCUGUUACAGACCAAUUGUUAUUGUGCCUCACUUAUCCACACAUAAUAUAUAAUAUUAGACCUUUUAUUUAUUCACCAUUUGGACCACGUCACUAUCCUUUCAGGCUAUAUUCAAUUGACGUAAUCCCAAAUUCUAACAUGAUUUUCAAAGAAGACUUUGAGCGCUUUCUUUAAGACUUCUCUAGCUUUAGUUAAAU